AGGAGCCAGGGGCUGCCCACAUGAGUGCUGACUCACCGGCAGGGCAGCCAGAAUCACAAGCUGUCCUACCCCAGCGCAGCUUUCUCUUCCUGUGUGCUCAGACAGUGUUUAGGGGAAGAGCUUCUGUGUGGUGCCGGCCUCCAUGCAUUUGCUGCGGUAGAAGACAGAGGAGAUGGCCACUUGCAGGUUUUCAGGAGCCUGACCAAAGAUCUGAACAUCUCAGAACUCCCCUGCUUGUUUCCUAAGGUCUGAAGAGCGUUUAAUAGUGGACGAAGCCUGUCAUUUCAUAAGAGGCUUGACUGAGGAAUUCCUUGGAAGGGAAACAUAGGGACUUCUGUCUCCACUAUGGAGUCUCUAUGGGCAAAGCCCACCGUGAGAAGGUGAAAGCAAAAGCAUUAGUUAACUAGUAUCUGAACAGAAGGGAGAGGAGAACUCUUGGAAGCAGAGAGGGCAGGAAGUGGGGGGACUAGUAUCACAGGUAACAGACACCUUCACAGUGGCCCUGUAAAGAAGUAGAAAGUUCCUUGAUUAAACGACUGCGCGUAGACUUACAGAAGAAGUAGAGACUUAAUCUGAUCCAAGGUAAAGGACAGAGGAGAGGCCCAUGUCCCAGCAGGAAGAACAGAAAGAUCGUGAGAAAAUGAAGCAGGAGUGAGCAUCGGCCGAGUCUGAGCUGGGAUCCUGAUGCAACUAAGAGAAAACCAUUGUGAAAGCACAGUCAUCUGCCCCUCAGCCACCACUACAGUGAUGAUCCUCUUGCGCCCAUGCAGCGGGGGACACGUUAGUGAUUCACUCGCUCAUGCGUUCAGCAAAGAAUGAGUUCUCAUUAUGACCAAGUCAGGUUGCUGGGUUUUUAAGGGCACAGGCAUAACAGAGACGCGGGCUUCCCUCUCAAGGAUGAAGUAAGUGCUAUGAUGGAGAUACAGACAAAAUGCCACAUGACUUCAGAGGGGGAAAUGGUGAGCUGUGCCAGGAGGAAUAACAGAAAGCUUCAUGGAAGAGACAAGCCUUCAAAGAUGAGUAGGAUUUCAAAAGAGGAGCAUGAUGUUCCAAGGAGGAAGAAAUGGACCAGAAUAGAAGAAAGGCAGAACUCUGAGGAACAUUCACAUCGAGAAGUGUCAAUGCAGCAGACAAGAGGGACCAGCAGGAGAAGUAGCAGAUGAGUCAAGAAGAAGAAGGAGAGUCCUCGUAUCCUGAAGCUCCAUGUUGGUGUCUGUGUGAGAGAGGAUUAGACAUCUGAACAUGUUGGCUGGGAACCAACAUAUCUUUCAUCAAGUAUUCAUUGAGACCUACAAUAUGCUCAGCAAGCGAAGAGAGAUUUCCCAUCUGCAAGGACCCAGCUACCUGCUCUCGAUCUCAGAAAACCACGUCCACUUGCCUCCUGUUCCCUGCAGUCAGGCCAGUAGCAUGAAUUGUCAUUUCAAGAUGCAGGACAAACAUCAUGAAAUAACUCUGAGGACCGGGGAGCCCCAAGAAGCCCCUUAGUAUGGCAUCAUGCUGCACCAGUGAGUCCCAGAGCAGCCUUCUUCAGUGGUGGUGAACGUGCCGGGGGGACCAGGCAUGCUUUGUACCUUGCGUUGCUUCCUUCAUGUCUCCACUUGAACCUGGAAGAAGUAACGGACACUGGAAGAGCAAGAUGGCAGUGUUCUGGUGACAAGAAGCAGGUUAGCUCAGCAUGCUGUAGCAACUGAUGCUUUCUGUCGCGGAACCAAUCCGAGCAUUGUGAUUCCCCCUUCCCUUGGCCCUCAGCCCUGUUAACACUUCCAGGAAGGAAACUACACAGAGGAAGGAAGCCAAAAGGGAUGGAAGCAAGGACAAUUCCCAUCACGAGAAGACGCCUGGCCUGGGGUGGGGGAGGGUGGAACCUAAAGGUGGGCUGCUGAGAGGGGCAGGGAAGGCUGGAUGCUUUGGGGCCAACGUGCUCAUUAUGAGAAAUUUCUUAAUGACUGUCAGUCCUGAGGGAGGCGUGUGAGCAAUGCCUGGCGCCAGCCAUGCUUGCACAGGGCCUCCUGUCUAGAUGGAAACUGUGUAGGGAGUGAGGGAGGAGUGUGCGAAGGGACCAUGUGGCUGCUGAAGGUGACUGAUGGCUUUGGGAUGGUCAAACGGGCUCCUGGGUAAUCAGGUUUUACUGGAAGGAGACACAAAGAUGAGAGACUUUCAGGUAAGAAGGAACCCUAGUUCCUGGUUUCUAGAACAAAGUUUUGUGGUUCUUUGAGUUUCAUUUGUGUUCUCCACCUGCAGACCUUUCUUCUUUC